rnacentral:rRNA from 1 species
AGGCAUCUUUUAACAAUCAAAGGAGCAAUCCGCUAUGAGAUGGGCCCGCGGCGCAUUAGCUAGUUGGUGAGGUAACGGCUCACCAAGGCGACGAUGCGUAGCCGACCUGAGAGGGUGAUCGGCCACAUUGGAACUGAGACACGGUCCAGACUCCUACGGGAGGCAGCAGUGGGGAAUAUUGCACAAUGGGGGAAACCCUGAUGCAGCAACGCCGCGUGAGUGAUGAAGGUCUUCGGAUUGUAAAGCUCUGUCUUUAGGGACGAUAAUGACGGUACCUAAGGAGGAAGCCACGGCUAA